rnacentral:rRNA from 1 species
GUGGGGAAUUUUGGACAAUGGGGGAAACCCUGAUCCAGCGACGCCGCGUGAAGGAUGAAGGCCUUCGGGUUGUAAACUUCUUUUGGAGGGGACGAAUAAAUUGACGGUACCCUCAGAAAAAGCCACGGCUAACUACGUGCCAGCAGCCGCGGUAAUACGAAGGGGGCUAGCGUUGCUCGGAAUGACUGGGCGUAAAGGGCGUGUAGGCGGUUUGUACAGUCAGAUGUGAAAUCCCCGGGCUUAACCUGGGAGCUGCAUUUGAUACGUGCAGACUAGAGUGUGAGAGAGGGUUGUGGAAUUCCCAGUGUAGAGGUGAAAUUCGUAGAUAUUGGGAAGAACACCGGUGGCGAAGGCGGCAACCUGGCUCAUUACUGACGCUGAGGCGCGAAAGCGUGGGGAGCAAACAGGAUUAGAAACCCUAGUAGUCC